UCUAGAGAGAGAAAAUAGGCAGAGAGAGAGAGGGUGCUCCUUCCCCAAUCCCCUGCAAACCCUAGCAUUGCCUACAAAGAUUGGUGACAUCUCUCUCGUUUCUCGCCAUUUCUUGAUAGGUGUUGUGAUUUGGCCACUGGUCGUGCGACGCUGAGCAAAAAGAGAUACAUUUCAAUUCGAUGAGGAAAUUGCAAACGAAGAGAGAUCUUGUAAGAGGGGCCGGAGAUAGAGAGAGAGUCACCUCAUCCGAUGGGGCUGCAAUGGCAAGUGGUGGUGACAGAGACCGACGAAGUUCGAUGGCGAAAGUUGGUGAGGUGCGACGGAAGCACUGUGCAGGAGGAUUCAGGAGAGUGAGCGACAGCAAUCAACAGCGACCGAGUGACGGCGAUGGUGAGGGAGGACUCUCGGAGGGAGAGGCGCGUUGGUGACUGAGGGUUGAACACAACGGAAGGAAGGGCGCCGUUUUUUGUUGACCCAUGAAACGAUGUCGUUUUGGGACUAUUGGUGCCACGUUGAAUGAAGUGGUGUUGUUUUGCAAGUCCAUGCGGA